ensembl:lncRNA
GCUGAAAUGAGUUCAAUGGAAUACAUUGUCUUUCCGUUGCAUCUCUAAGAACGAUAAAGUUUAAUCUGGGAUUUAACGCUCCGUUUAGAAACUUAUCCUGCUAUUGACACACUUGUUGAAUUAUACAACAGUAAUUAAUGAUGCUAGACAGCGCAGGUGGGUGCAGGUAGGGAAGACUGAGCAGGUGGGUGCAGGUAGGGAAGACUGUGCAGGUAGGGAAGACUGUGCAGGUAGGGAAGACGGUGCAGGUGGGUGCAGGUAGGGAAGACGGUGCAGGUAGGGAAGACGGUGCAGGUAGGGAAGACGGUGCAGGUAGGGAAGACGGUGCAGGUAGGGAAGACGGUGCAGGUGGGUGCAGGUAGGGAAGACGGUGCAGGUGGGUGCAGGUAGGGAAGACGGUGCAGGUAGGGAAGACGGUGCAGGUGGGUGCAGG